rnacentral:misc_RNA from 1 species
GAUUUUUUUCUUAGUGUAUACGAGUUUUUAAAAAGAAAGGAGCAAUAUCAAUCCUCUUGAUAAAAAAAGAGAUUGGUUAUUGCUCCUUUAAUACUAAUUAAUACUAAUUUAAUUUAAUAGUAAUUUUGCUUACAUAAGCAUAAGUUUUUUUUGACUUCAAUGUCAUAAAAAAAUCUUAUGAAUUUAUGAUUAUGUAUUGUUUUUUAAUUUAAAUUAGAAUAUCUAGGCUCUGAACAAUUCUUUUUAUUAAUAUUUAAUAUCUAAAAAAGUAAAUCUUAGAGGG